CUUCUUCGAUCUGCUGCGGACUGAUGAAGUGAAUAUGCGUGUCGAUGCCGCCUGCCGUCACGAUCAGCCCUUCGCCGGCUAUCACCUCCGUGGAUGCGCCGAUUGCGAUCGUCACGUUCGGCUGAAUGUCGGGAUUGCCCGCCUUGCCGAUAGCCGCGAUGCGGCCGUUCUUGAUGCCGAUGUCGGCCUUCACGAUGCCCCAAUGGUCGAGAAUCACCGCGUUGGUCACAACGGUAUCGACGACGUCGGCAUGCACGCGUUGCGACUGGCCCAUGCCGUCGCGAAU
rfam:Burkholderia sp. Bk sc_001, whole genome shotgun sequence.